rnacentral:rRNA from 1 species
CUACGGGUCGCUCCAGUGAGGAAUAUUGCACAAUGGGGGGAACCCUGAUGCAGCAACGCCGCGUGGAGGAUGACGCAUUUCGGUGUGUAAACUCCUUUUAUAUGUCAAGAAAAUGACGGUAGCAUAUGAAUAAGCACCGGCUAACUCCGUGCCAGCAGCCGCGGCAAUACGGAGGGUGCAAGCGUUACUCGGAAUCACUGGGCGUAAAGGACGCGUAGGCGGGUUGGAAAGUCAGGUGUGAAAUCCUACAGCUUAACUGUAGAACUGCACUUGAAACUUCUAAUCUAGAGUAUGGGAGGGGGAGAUGGAAUUAGUGGUGUAGGGGUAAAAUCCGUAGAUAUCACUAGGAAUACCUAAAGCGAAGGCGAUCUCCUGGAGCAUAACUGACGCUAAGGCGUGAAAGCGUGGGGAGCAAACAGGAUUAGAUACCCCUGUAGUC